GCUAGUUUUCUAAAGCGAUAAAGCAAAAGGAAAGGCUCCUUUUACCAUCUUAAAGCUCAGUAAAAAAAUGUACUUUCACGAUAAACAUACAGAGCAGAAAGGGCUUCAAGCUUUAAGAUUUUUUGGGGGUACUGGGGAGUUAACAAAACUUAAAGAAGAACUUGUGUAAGCAUCUGAUGCCUCCUUGCUACAUUGCGAACUCCAACCAGUUUUCAGUGCAAUCUGUGAGGCUUGUGGAUUCCCCAGAUCAAAACCCCAACUUCUUAGAGAAAGAAUGAGGUUGAAGAGAAGGAAGGAGGAGUGGGGCUUACCACAGGCUGUGAGCAUCCCAUCCAGAGUCUUGAAUCAGUGCCCACACACUGAGUGCGUUGUUGGCCUUUUAAACUGGUGUUAUGUAAAUACAUUAUGUUAUAUUUAUCUUAAGCUGCUGCAGUCUAUAAAUAUUCAAGUGUCUGCUGCCAUUUUUAUGAAUGUAAGUAAGACCCAUGUUGCACUAAUGGCAGUUACGUUUUCAAUCACAGAUGGGGAAGAAUCUCAAGAGACACUUAAAAGCAUGGAGGGUAUUAAACAUCCAAUAAGCAAAAAAUCCUAAGGCUUAAAGAAGGAAAAUAACAAGUUUUAAAGGGAACAUUGCAGUAGAAACAAUGAGGAGAAUAAUUUACUUUCAUGAAAAUCCUACUGAGCGUGAAUGAGCAAAACAGAGAGAACUCUCCUUAGCUGGGAUCGUGGUGUGCUGUGCCUCACUUCAGAUUGCCACACUGACCUCGAUGUUUAGGAAGGAUACCAUUAUUUAAAAAUAAUUCCAGUAUGCCAUGGAUGGCAUUUGCUAUCAGCAGGGUGCUCAGAGAUCCUACACUUUGAAGGUAAAUACUACAGUUUAAUCUGUUGGGUUUUGUGGUGGUGGUUUUGUUUUUUUAAAUUAUUUUUUUAAAUUAUUUUUUAAUGAGAGAAAGAGAGGU
ensembl:lncRNA